CAGUUCGGAUUGCAGGCUGCAACUCGCCUGCAUGAAGCUGGAAUUGCUAGUAAUCGCGGAUCAGCAUGCCGCGGUGAAUACGUUCCCGGGCCUUGUACACACCGCCCGUCACACCAUGAGAGUCGGGAACACCCGAAGUCCGUAGUCUAACCGCAAGGGGGACGCGGCCGAAGGUGGGUUCGAUAAUUGGGGUGAAGUCGUAACAAGGUACC
rnacentral:rRNA from 1 species